rnacentral:rRNA from 1 species
AUUGAACGCUGGCGGCAUGCCUUACACAUGCAAGUCGAACGGAUUCAAGGGGCUUGCUCCUUGAGUUAGUGGCGAACGGGUGAGUAAUGCAUCGGAACGUACCCAGUUGUGGGGGAUAACGUAGCGAAAGUUACGCUAAUACCGCAUACGACCUGAGGGUGAAAGCGGGGGAUCGCAAGACCUCGCGCAAUUGGAGCGGCCGAUGUCAGAUUAGCUAGUUGGUAGGGUAAAAGCCUACCAAGGCGACGAUCUGUAGCUGGUCUGAGAGGACGACCAGCCACACUGGGACUGAGACACGGCCCAGACUCCUACGGGGGGCAGCAGUGGGGAAUUUUGGACAAGGGGGGAAACCCUGAUCCAGCCAUGCCGCGUGAGUGAAGAAGGCCUUCGGGUUGUAAAGCUCUUUCGGACAGAAAGAAAUCUUUUGGGCUAAUACCCUGAGAGGAUGACGGUACUGUAAGAAGAAGCACCGGCCAACUACGUGCCAGCAGCCGCCGUAA